rnacentral:rRNA from 1 species
AACCCUUGACAUCCUGUGCUAACCCGAGAGAUCGGGCGUCCACUUCGGUGGCGCAGUGACAGGUGCUGCAUGGCUGUCGUCAGCUCGUGUCGUGAGAUGUUCGGUUAAGUCCGGCAACGAGCGCAACCCACAUCCUUAGUUGCCAGCAGUUCGGCUGGGCACUCUAAGGAAACUGCCCGUGAUAAGUGGGAGGAAGGUGUGGAUGACGUCAAGUCCUCAUGGCCCUUACGGGUUGGGCUACACACGUGCUACAAUGGCAGUGACAAUGGGUUAAUCCCCAAAAGCUGUCUCAGUUCGGAUUGGGGUCUGCAACUCGACCCCAUGAAGUCGGAAUCGCUAGUAAUCGUGGAACAGCAUGCCACGGUGAAUACGUUCCCGGGCCU